ACUCCUACGGGAGGCAGCAGAGGGGAAUAUUGGACAAUGGGCGCAAGCCUGAUCCAGCCAUGCCGCGUGGAUGAUGAAGGCCCUAGGGUUGUAAAGUCCUUUCGGCGGGGAAGAUAAUGACGGUACCCGCAGAAGAAGCCCCGGCUAACUUCGUGCCAGCAGCCGCGGUAAUACGAAGGGGGCUAGCGUUGCUCGGAAUCACUGGGCGUAAAGCGCACGUAGGCGGACUCUUAAGUCGGUGGUGAAAUCCUGGAGCUCAACUCCAGAACUGCCUUCGAUACUGGCGACCUUGAGUCCGGGAGAGGUGAGUGGAACUCCGAGUGUAGAGGUGAAAUUCGUAGAUAUUCGGAAGAACACCGGUGGCGAAGGCGGCCAUCUGGACCGGCACUGACGCUGAGGCGCGAAAGCGUGGGGAGCAAACAGGAUUAGAUACCCUGGUAGUCCACGCCCUAAACGAUGACGACUAGUUGUUGGAGGAGUUAAAUCCUUUAGUAACGCAGCUAACGCGCGAAGUCGUCCGCCUGGGGAGUACGGUCGCAAGAUUAAAACUCAAAGGAAUUGACG
rnacentral:rRNA from 1 species